rnacentral:tRNA from 1 species
UCAAAAAGUAAGUAAUACUCAAUCUUUAACUUCCAAGGUUAAUAUUUUAAUUAAACUACUUUUUG